GAGCAUGUUUAUAGUCAGUCUGGUUGAAAAUUCUGGUUCAAGCCAGAAUCGCCUUACAGCUGUUAUUGUUGCUUAUAAAUGCAACUUAUUCUGUGCGCAGGAGCAAAAAUCAAUUGGGAGGAAGAAUCCACCUGCUCGCCCAUUAAGUAUGAUUAUCAAAGUCAAACCUCAGGCGAAGAAAGCGAAGAUGGACCUGGGAAAUGUCGAAGAACAUUUAGAGAUAGGGAAAACUCCCGAUUUUAAUAUGGAAAAAUCUUCAGACACGGUGAAAGUACCUAGCAAUGAUGUUGCUAAAACUGGCCUUGUUUCAUACAGUGAUGAAAGUGAAGAUGAUGAUUAGUAGUUUUUGCUAAAGAUACCUUGGAUAUUUAUUAUCACUUGAUUGAAUUUCGUUUACUGCGUUCCAUUUUCUUGCAUACAUGCAUAGGGGAAGCAGAUGGCAAGGGGGGUGUGUGUGUCCUUGGGGCGUUGUUUCUUUCUUAAAAACACGGAAACUCUUCAGUGAAGAAAAUGAUCUAUAAUUCUUGCGGAAUAACCUUUUGGUUGGGCUGUAAACAUGCUGGACAUGCUAUGCUACAGUCAGCCGAAAAGGAACUGCAGUGGGCUUGAAUAGUAAAUGUUUUCAGUCGAGCUUGGACUUCGUGAAUAUGCGCUAUAGUCCUAGAAAAUAUUGUGAAAAUAAUCAGGGAAAUAACCCAUUUUAACUUUAUCUCCCUCUCAAUAUCUCUUUCCAUUUGAAAAUUCAGGAUUUGAAUUGAUGUUAUUUCAUUGAUUCCUCAAUUUAAAUUGUAUUAAUUUAUCCUAAAAAUUUUAUUUCAAUUUCUAUUUAGUUACUCAUCAUUUAUGAGAAUCCCACCAAGUAUUCAUGGCUGAAAUAGUUAAAACAUCCAACUCAUAAAUGGAGAAUUCACAGCUUUACAACUCAUAAUUAGAGAAUUCAUAGGAUGAGAUGCAUGCUAAUGGAACCUCCGAUAAAUCUAUUGGAAUUGGCUUUGUAACAAUACAAUCUCAUCUUCCAUACAUAACAAAUUGUUACACUAUAUUCAUAUUAUAACAUAUGAACAAUAAAAACUAAUAUUUUUAUUGAGAAAUAACUUACAGGGGAGAAAAUAGAUUUAUGGAUGGCACUUGUAAGAAUGGAUGAUUCUACGAAAUCUUCAACGUUCGUCGUGGUUUUUCUUCUCACUUUGUAUCUGGUAGGGACUAGGGAGUGAAGGGCUGCUGGAAAGAAAUGAUUUUUUCUGGCCAUGGAAGGAACCUUGAUCCCAUCGUGAACGUUGACAAUCAAACACAGCAACGGUCAAACGCAAAUGCUAAGCCAGUGUUCAAAGAAAUUUAAAAACUGGAUGCUUUUGACGUUUUUGAGAAAUGAUCACGGAAAAGCUGCAGUCAAGAACAAAGUUGGGGAGCUAACUUGAAAGGAUAUCCGCCGCCUUCUUUUACUCCCUCGCGCCGCAUCAAUUUU
rnacentral:lncRNA from 1 species